GUUGCAAUAGCUCAGUGGUACAGUGCGUGCUUAGCAUGCAUGAGGCCCUGGGUUCAAUCCCUAGUACCUCCA
rnacentral:tRNA from 1 species